CCAAAAAAAAAAAAAAGAGAAAGAAAUAAAAAAGGAGAAAUUUCAACUGACAGCAGAAUUACAAAAUACCAUAAGAGAAUACUAGAACAAUUAUAUGCCAACAAAUUUGACAACCUAGAAGAAAUGGACAACUUUCUAGAAACAUACAGCCCACCAAAAUUG